ACGGCUCAGUAACACGUAGGUAGCUACCCUUUAGCGGGGGAUAGCCCGCCGAAAGGCGGAGUAAUCCCGCAUAAUCCCCGCCUUUGGCGGGGGAAAGAGUUUAACUGCUCACUAAAGGAGGCGCCUGCGGCCUAUCAGCUUGUUGGUAGGGUAAUGGCCUACCAAGGCAAAGACGGGUAGGGGGCGUGAGAGCGUGGCCCCCCAGAAUGGGACUGAGACACGGCCCAUACACCUACGGGUGGCAGCAACUGGGAAUCUUGCGCUAUGGGCGAAAGCCUGACGCAGCGACACCGCGUGAAGGAUGAAGGCCUUCGGGUUGUAAACUUCUGUUAAAUAGCACCGGCUAACUACGUGCCAGCAGCCGCGGUAAUACGAU
rnacentral:rRNA from 1 species